GUGUGUAGUAUCUGGAGCGUGCGUACUGUCGGGGGAGAACUACUCGGGGACGUAGGAUAUACCGCAGACAUCCCUACUUGGAAUAGCAGGGGAGCGGAUGAACUUGCGUUAUUGGAGCGGCUCAUAUCCGAUUACCUGGUUGGUGAGGUAAUGGCUCACCAUGGCGACCAUCCGUACCUCGUUUCAUAGGACGACCAGAAACACUGAUGACUGAGACAGGGCCCGACUCCUACACGAAGCACCACUGGGGGAUUUUGUACAAUGGGGGAAACACUGAUCCACCGUUCCCCCGUGUGCGAUGACGGCCUUCAGGUUGUAUAGCACUUUUGGCAGGUAAGAUAUGUCGUGGGAUCAUAUGCAGCGAUAAUGACUGGACCCGUGAAAUAACCUACCCCGAACUACAUGGCUACAUCCGCGCUAAUACGUGCGGUGCUAGCGUGGUUCCGAAUUUUGGCGCGUAUUGCGUGCGCAAGCGGGUUCGAAAGAGAUAUGUGAAAUCUCAUAGCUUAUCUUCGGAACUGCACUUUUAGCUACAUUGCUAAAUUGUGUCAUAGGGAGGUGGAGAUUGCGCGUGUAUACUGAAUGUAGUAGAGAUGUGGAGGAAACACCUAUAGCAAAAGCAGUGUCCUGGGCGACUAUUGACUCUCAUGCACAAAGCGUGAGGAGCAGACAGGAGUACAUACACGGGUAGUCUCCGCGCUAGACCAUGUCAUCUAUUAGUUGUGG
rnacentral:rRNA from 1 species